rnacentral:rRNA from 1 species
ACCCGCUGAAUUUAAGCUUAUAGGUGAGUGGAGGAGGACACAUCAUUUGAGCUUCCACCAGUAAGGGCGAAUGAACAUGGACUGGCUCAGUGUGGUAACCGGGGCCGGUGGCCCUGACUUGUAGCCUCGAGGUGCGUUGCCAGCAUGAGGUUGCUGAUGGGUGCCUUCUGGAAAGAUGUAUCAGUGAGGUGAGAAAUCCAUGUGUCAUUUGUAGCCCCUCGUGCAUGGCAUGCGCUGCAGGAGUCACGCUUCUCAGGCCUGGAGCACGAAUCGGGUGACAACCUCCAUCUGCAGCUGAAUAUCAACCCAAUGUCGAGAGCAAACACGUACCCUGAGGGGAAGGUGAAUAAGGACUUUGUGAAGAGAGUUAACAGUGCCUGAACUUGCCGAAAGUAAAGCAUAUCACGUCAAAGUAAUUAGGUGGGAUUGCUUCGGGUGACCCACUCACCACACUUGUGCAAGCAGUGGGUAGGUCGAUUGGUGGUGCCAGAGUGGUUCUCGCCUUGUCUGUCAGUUGGUGCGUGUGUGCGGGGCAGAAGUUUGAGUGUGGCAGUCUUCUGGCGGGUGGGCGAGCCUGAUAGCUUACACCUCUGCACGUGCACUUGGUGGCCAAAUGGUCAAUAUGGCCCGUCUUGAAACACGGACCACGGAGUCUAAUCAUGUGCAAGCUGGUUGCUGCAAACCCUGGUUGAGCAGUAAAAGCAAAUCCUAGUAUCCAUUUGUCAGUGGCCGACCCAUCAGUUAAGGAUGAACGCAGGGGAAACCCUGAUGGCGGCCCGCCGUGUUACUGACGCGCAACUCGUUCGCCAUACAUGGGCAUGGGGGCGAAAGACUAAUCGAACCAUCUGGUAGCUGGUUACCACCGAAGUUUCCCUCAGGAUAGCUGGAGCUGGACAGCUUCACCAGGUAAAGCGAAUGUCUAGAGGAAGUGGGGGCAUGCUGCCCUUGGCCUACUCUCAAACUUUAAAUGGGUGAGGUUCAGUGGAUGCUUGUGUGAUCCACUUAGCAAGUUGCAGCUCCAGGUGGACCAUGUUUGUCAAGCAGAACUGGCGACGAGGGAUGAACCUAACAUUGGCUUAAGGCACUUCGCUGCUUGUCUAGCAGAUACCAUAAAAGGUGUUGGUUCAUUUCAGCAGUAGGACUGUGGUCAUGGAAGUUGAAAGCCGCUAAGGAGUGUGUAACAACUCACCUGCCGAAUGGGGUGGCCCUGAAAAUGGAUGGCACCCAAGCGAGUGGCCAGCUCCCAAAUCAUCAAAACAACCAUGUUGGACCAAUGAGUAGGAGGUUACAAAAGGGCUUGUGGCGAACAUUAUUGGUGUGAGCCUGGGCGGAUCAGCCCCACGUGCAGAUCUUGGUGGUAGUAGC